rnacentral:rRNA from 1 species
UACAGGGGGUGCAAACGUUGCUCGGAAUCAUUGGGCGUAAAGCGCACGUAGGCGGUCUGUUAUGUCGGAUGUGAAAGCCCUUGGCUCAACUGAGGAAGUGCAUCCGAAACUGGCAGGCUAGAGUACUAAAGAGGAUCGCGGAAUUCCCGGUGUAGAGGUGAAAUGCGUAGAUAUCGGAAGGAACACCUGUGGCGAAAGCGGCUCACUGGACCAUAACUGACGCUGAGGCGCGAAAGCUAGGGGAGCAAACAGG